rfam:Fabibacter misakiensis strain SK-8 scaffold5_cov71_read188, whole genome shotgun sequence.
GGAAAUGCGAUAACGAUGGAGAGUUAUAUCGGUCUGUAAAACCGAUGCCAAAGGCUCAGUAGGUUCGAAUCCUACCAUUUCCA